CACGCCAAUCCCGGGGCGGCGGGGGCGGUGCCUCGCUCUCUCCGCAAUAAAACUUUUUGAUGUCCUCCUUGCUAAUUGCUGAGGUCCUCUCCCAGGAUUGGCUACUCCUUCAUAACCAUAAGAUAAUUAAAACGGGGGUGGGGGAGAGAGUAAAAAAAAACCUUUUUAUCAGUCAGAGGUUAAUGCAAGUGUUUAGCAGAUGCUUCGCUAUUAAAAUAUCCCCUACCCCCACCCCCCAGUCUCAAAAUUUGAAGAAUUUCAAGUCAGGGUCCUCAGCCUCAACAAACUCCUUCAGGGUGCAGGCACCCCGAAUUGAUGGUGUGGCCAGGAUUGGUGUUCCACUGGUUUAACUAGCCUGUUUGGUCCAGUUUCAAUAUCACCUACUUCAGGAAGCCUCCUCUAACCCCUAAAUCAUGUCUCCUUUCGGGUGCUCUUUCGUGUUCUCUUUGGCAGAUCUCUGGGUACCUCCUGUUACUGCCGAGUCACAGUCAAUGCACUGCACCCAGUAGGUAAUGACAGAAACCAGCGAAUUCUGCAAACUCCUAUUGCAAUCAGAUUAGUUGUCCUUAUUUUGAAAGUGACUACAGCUAGAAGAAGAGUUAGACUUCGUCCAUCAGAGAACAAACAGGUCUUCAUUUCUAAGCCCCCUGGAGAACCAAGACGUUUUGCACUGGAUAGAUCAUACUUGUGAUAGCUCUGCAUCCUGUUCUGCAUACUGGAAUGACAGACUCAUCCCUGGCCUGGCCUUCCGGAAACCCACCCUCCACGCCACACCGCCCCGCCCCUCUCCACCCCUUCCAGCUCAGCAUAGCUCCGCCGGGCGAACUCUUCCUGCUUAGAUUGGCUGCUUGACCUGAGACCUGCUUGGAACCUUAGUUUUCCCAUCUGGAAGAUGGGGGUAAUGGCGUGGACCUCGAAGGCGUGUGGGGGAGGAUAAGAUGAGAUCCAGGUAGACGCAAGAGCCCAACAUCCAGACUGUGAUCAAUAAAUAUCCAUGUGUUUUCCCUUU